UUCAUUAUUCCACUUUCACUCACUCCCUGCACCCCUCCUAGUCUGUACCCCUCUAAAACUUUCUCUUUUUUCCCUUUCAGAGGCCCACUUCCUGCUGGAGUUUUUUAAAGGUUGAAAAAAAAGGUCAGAAAUGACGGGCUGGCGUUAAGACUACAACAUCUGGUACCGUUUUAGAGAGGGGGGGGGGGAGCGAGAGAGAGAGAGAGAGAGAGAUGGAGCAGGAAAAGUGCUUGAAGAGUACUAGAAGUAUAGAAAGAAGAUAGAUAUGGGAGGAGAGGAGAGAACUGGAGAACUGCCGACGGAGGUGUGGACAACACAGCAUCGUAGCGAAGGAUUGAAAGUCUGAAAAAAAAUUUUGAUAGCAACAGACGAUCCAAAAAAAUCAAUUCCCCCAGGGUCCUAUCAACCCUUAUAUGGCCAGCAGGUUCCUCCCUCUCUCUCUCUCCCAUUCUCCGCCCGCUCUCCCUCGUUCUUCUCUCGCUCUUUUUUCACCAUGCCUUCCCUAAAUGCGCUGCCAGACUGCCGGCUACGGGAGUGAAACGUGCCACGUCAAGACUGGAUACUCAACCGAAGCGUCAAGGAAAAUGCACGGCAACUCCAGGACCGAGGCGUCUCCGAUACUCAGAGAGAGCAAAAGACAAGACAGGAAACGAGGACAAACCCGACAACGGCGCUCCGGAGUGCGUCUCCAAGCCCUCCCCUGUUUCCCUACGUCGGGAAGCCACUGAGAGAUGGAGAGGAGAACGGAGACUAUUUCUAUCUUGUUUAUUUUUUAUCUUCCACCUCCUCCUGCGAAAGUCUGAGCCAGCGAGAAUGGGCUGAGCGAUAGAUUAGAUAGAGGGAAAUGAGGAAGCGAGCGAGAGAGAGAGAGAGAGAGAGAGAGUGAGAAAGUGACAGGAAGGGAUGGAUCUCCUGCUCCGUCAUCCCAGUGUUCAGACUACCUGUUCAGGAUCAUACUGGUGUACAGUAGUCUGCACAUUGGUUAGACUGUGCAUGGAUUGGCUGCGCUUAUGUGCACUAGACACACACUCAUACACCAACAAAAAACCACAACGCAAAAAUCUUUCUGUUUCUUUAGUGGUUCUGUUGACAGCCAAGGUUUGUACUGUGUCUGCUAAUCAGUCUAAUCUCCUAUCGAUGUGAAUGGCCAAGCGUUAUAGCAGAUUCGCUGGUAUGAUCUGAUGUGGUUUGGUGUUUGUUCAUCAAUCUGAAUGAUAACUUGCUGCGGUUUCAAUGACUGCACAGAUGCACAUGCAGCGUAACUCUGAUUAAGCAUUGUUGAUAUUAGCUUGAAAGAAAUGUGUGCGGUGUAAGUGUGGCUGUAGUUUAAUGUUUCACCUACAGAGACUAUGUGUUAAUGCUGAGGUGUCUCAUGAGCUCUAAAUGAACUCACACUACUGCAUGCAUGGAAAACUGGGAUGGCAUGAGUAGAACCAGCUCUGACACACACACACAAACCACUUCUCUCAGACAUUUGGACCCAAAAGGCACCCCCACAAACACAGACACACACACACACACACACACACACACACACACACAUAUGCACACACACACACUCCCACUCACACAGAGUGAGUGUGGCGAUGUAGGAGAGAGACUGAGUAAGAGUCAUCUGUUUUCCCUCAUGCAGCAUGAGUGUGAGAGACAGAGCGAGAGAGAGACAGAGCGAGAGAGAGAGAGAGAGAGAGAGAGAGAGAGAGACUGCAGGAAUGUGUGUCUGUUUAGUGUUGGGAUGGUUUACCCAAAGCAGCGGCACCAGGAUUACUGAGAUGAGUAUAACAAUGGCUGCAUGUAUCUGUAGUACAGCUGCUGAACUGUUAGCUAAUGAGGAAGGAGAGGAGAACAUGUGUGUGAGGGAGAGAGAGAUAGAAGAAAUGAGAGAGAGAAAGAAAGAGAAACCUUGCUAUAUGGUAGGCUGUAAGGGGUGAAGGGGUGCAGGAGUGAGGAAGCAAAAGGGGUCACUCUCUCUCUCUCUCUCUCUCUCUCUCUCUCUCUCUCUCUCUCUCUCUCUCUACUUCUUUCUCGGCAGGCUCUUGGAGGCUGGUGUUUGGACAAAGCCUUACAAUUUUCCAGCCAGGAAUGUGUAUGGUCCCAGAGAGACUGCCAGCCACAGAGAGAGAGAGAGAGAGAGAGAGAGAGAGAGAGAGAGAGAGAGAGAGAUUUAAGACACAAGAUGAAUGAAGUGUGAAAUAAGGAUGAAUACAGAGCACAAGAAAAAAUGUGAGCGCAGACUUAAAGAAAAUAGGCAUAGACAAGGAGACAGCACUUUAACUGACGAAUGGCUUCAAGUGGGUUCCAAAAAGGUUUUUUUUUUUUUUUUUUUUUUUUUUUAAGGCUUUAGAAUACCUCCAGAGUAGUAUAUAACCAAAGAGGGAUCUGAAGGAGGCAUUUGAUAUGAAAAUAUUUGAAGAAAUUGUGUAAGGUUUGUUAAUAAUAAUAAAGGAUAAUAAAGGAUCCAGUUUUGGAAUUAAACUACAGAUUUUGGAAAGGCAGCCAGGGUAUUCUCCGCACACAGGAUAACGGAUACGGCAGAACUUUACGAAUAGGUUCUCCAGACAUAUCCACUUAGUUAUUUAUUUAUUUACUUGAAACUUAUUGCUGUCUUCAGAGGAUGUUUUAGUGAGGGUUUGUAAACUAUAGUGUGGUUGGUCCUUACAAAGUGAUCCAAACACUGAUCACAAAUCUAUCGAUCUAUCUUUAUACACAUAAAAUCUUUUGCUAAUACAUUUGCUGUUAAAACUCUGCCGCAAACACGAGAGCAGAACAGUACUGCAUUAAACAGCCAGCAGUCCAGAAAGCCAUUUAUUACUGUGCGUAAUUCAUUAUUCUGAGUGUAAUAUAUGUGUGGGUUAGUAAGACUGUAAUUUAAGUUUUGGGCACCAGAAUUGCGCAAGCAUCUAUGUAGUCACAUGGGGAAGUCUUUAAGUGCAGAAAUAUUUGUGCAGACCUUUGUGUGGGCCUGUGAUUACACUAAGUCUGUCGCAUAUGCAUUUAUCUCAUUGACUGUUUGUGUUUGUGUUACAGUGUGUUUAUUCAUCUAACCACUUAUAUUUGGCCCAAAUGUGUGUGCAUGUGUGUGUGUAUGUGUGUGUGUGUAUGUUUGUGUAUGUGUGUGUGUGUGUGUGUGUUAGUUUGGCUUGGGGGGAAUCCAGCUGUGUCAGGGUGAUCUGAUCCAAAUGCCUCUAUUCCCAACAGAGAGAGAGAGAGAGAGAGAGAGAGAGAGAGAGAGAGAGAGAGAGAGAGAGAGAGAGAGAGAAAAGGCAAGAAUGAGAGUUAGAGAGGGUCACAGAGGGCAAAAGAGGAAAGGAAGUUAAAGAGCGCAAGUGCCCUGAGAACAGACGUGUUUUACGUGAUUCGUCCUGUACCUCCAUUCGAGUCCUCCUUUCCCAGAGGCAGAGCGUGCUGCCAUUGGCUGAGAGCGUUGUCUGUCUGCCUGUCUACACUUGCUGUGCAGAACUUCCUGCACCUGUACAGCAGGCACAGACAGGCAGACAGAUGGCAGCCCACCUGGCAGGCCACACGGCAUGAGGGACGUGUCGCACAGCCAAUUAUGACUGGAUGAAAUGCCGGUGUUUUCAAGACCCGCCCUACGCAUCAAUUACCUGAGCCUGGAAAUCUGACCCGAAUGGAAGAGACACACACCACCACAUGACAAAUGUUCAAGUCACAUGAAACAGAAGCAGGCCAAACCUCACCUCGUCAUCUUUAAACCAGGAGAGGCUCUCUGCAGUCAGCAGGAACCAGUACUCUCUGGCCCCUCCCUUCAUCAAACUAAGGUUGUUGAUGGUCAGCCAGCCUUUUUGGAUCACCUACAAAGCAAGAAAGAGGUCAGGACUCAAAUGUUAGAUGGUGUGAUCUGUGGCGAAGUAAGAUGCCAGAAGGAAGAGCUCACCAGUCCUCCGGAAAACAGAGGAACAAAGAUGUUAUUUGGAGAUAAAGAGUAAAUAAAUGGAAUAAAGAGUCUUGUGACUGAA